rnacentral:tmRNA from 3 species
GGGGGUGAUCGGUUUCGACGGUGAUCGUCGAGCCAGGUGAAGCGGGUCGAGGAUGCACGGUUAUCUCGUAAACGCUCCGUGCAACUCAUAGGUGCCGAUUCCAAGCGCACCGACUUCGCCCUCGCCGCCUGAGCGAGGCUUCGAAGUCCGUCGGCCUAGACAUGCUCUCGAUCUAGUUCCCGGCGUCAUCUAGAGAGCCACUGCUGUCCGUCCUCGUCGGUGGGGCGGGCGGGACUCUCAGCCGACUGAGCCCGUCCACGUCUUGUCCGCGUGAUCGUGGGGGCUGAGAAAAUCUACUGCGGACUGCACCCGGAGAAGCCCUGGUCCCACGUCAUCGGACGCGGGUUCGAUUCCCGCCACCUCCACGU